GCCGAUGUGGCUCAGUGGUAGAGCAGCUGAUUCGUAAUCAGCAGAUCGUCGGUUCGAAUCCGACCAUCGGCUCCA
rnacentral:tRNA from 1 species